AGAAGAAGAAGAAGAAAAAAGAAAUAAAGAAAGAAGCAGCAGCAGCAAGGCCUCAUUCUGCCACUUAACAAAAGUAAUAUACCAAUACAUUGCAAAUAAAUGGUUCAGAGCAAAAUUGAGCAAAUAAAUUAAUUGGCUGGCCUUGAUAGAGAGCAGAAAAAAGAGGACGAAGACAAAAAUUUGUCAUUUCAAAAAAAGAGCCCUUGCAGUGCCUUCUUUCCAUCCUCUCUGAAGAGCUCUUAGUUCCCACAUUGCACUAAGCUUCCUCUGUGCUUCUAAUGCGGCUUCAGCUCUUUCUCUCGCCCCCUCGCAAGUCUCCAUCCCUGCAUUGCACUUGUCUGCCUCCUUCUGAUACUGGGAUGCCAUUUUCUUAGCUUCCAACAAUGCUACAUCCGCACGAUGUUGCGUUUUCAAAGCUUCUGCUUCUUUCAGCCUCAGUUCCUCUGAUAACAGAUCUGUAAAGCUUUUCUCCAUCUCCUCACUUACCUCAGGAUCAUGCUUCAUACAGUCUGUAAAAGAACUGUUGCUCAAACCGUCAGUGAGAGAGAGGAGGGGUUGCGAAGAACAAUCGCAGGGGCAGGGACGGCAAUA
rnacentral:misc_RNA from 1 species